ACAGCAGCUGCCCCUGCAAAUGUCAGCGCCAGCCCAGUCAAAAGAGCUUGAAACCUACCAAGCCGGAGGACUGUGCUGUGCCUCUCUCGCCCACAUUUUCCCCAAGCACUCUCAGGAACCUGGCAACAGUGUCCCCUUGUGGCCAAGCCUGGAACAUCACAUCUGUACGUUGCAAUCUGUGGAUCAGCUACGAGACUGAGAGAAAGGAAUGAAAGGAUGGAAGAAUUACAAGAUCAGGCACUGCUGUCUGUCUGUUCCACGGAUGUAACCACAGCACACGCGUGGCUCACGGUACUAGUGUGAUAAAUGCUUGUUACAUGAAGGCGUGAACAGGGAUGAGAAGAGACUUCCUGGAGAAACAAAAGGACUAACAAUCAGGAAGGGGAGGUGAUCGGGGCAGGAGUAAAGUGGACACCUCAGCAAAGCCAUUCGCUGUGAUCUCUGAUUGUGCAGUGUCAUGUCCUGUCACCAGAGCCCCCUCGUGUUUGAUGUUGGCCAAUGCCGCCAGCAUGAUCUAGCAGGCCAAAUCCUAAUCUACCAUUCUCUGACACCAGCUGGUCCCCUGGGUCGUCCACCCGAUGUCCCCCAUUCUCCCCAAAGGUACACACCGC
rnacentral:lncRNA from 1 species